rnacentral:lncRNA from 1 species
AGUUAUCACCUGCCCGGUGGAGUGAGGAACAGCCCGCCAGGGCCCUGCUGGGCACAGACCAGGCUUCAGCCACCUGGAGCCUUCCCUGGUUUGGCCGUCACCCUUCCACCCUGAUCUCUCCUGAGCCUGGGGAGCCCUCACGGAAAAGCCAGAAGAAAUUAACAUACAGCAUAAAAGAAUAAGAUCAGACUUCAGGAAGAACCACCAGACGGGGCUGGAAAACACAGACAAGAUCACGGAGUUCCUUUGGGAAAGGUUGCCCCACGCCUUGAACCUCCCUCAGUUUCCCUCUCAGUCUCUUCAGCUCCUGGCCAGCUCUCUUCUCCUCUCGCCUUGGAGGGUCUCCCACCACCUUGCAGAACAUCAGCACCCACCAAAUUCCCUUGCCUCUGCCCAAGGUCUCCACCCAGCCUACGUGGGCAAAAUUUCAAAUUCCAAAAUAAAAACUCUCUGAUAACGAGUCCCAGCCGGAAAGACUGAUGCACUUUCCUAUUGUUAAAGUAUUUUUAGUCACAGGCUCUGGAUUCGUUUAGAGACUCACGUUCAGAAAGGGGAAAAUUUUUUUUUG